UACGGAGGGGGCGAGCGUUAUUCGGAAUUAUUGGGCGUAAAGGGCGCGUAGGCGGCUUGACAAGUCAAAGGUGAAAUCCCUCGGCUCAACUGAGGAACUGCCUUUGAAACUGUCUGGCUUGAGGCCGGGAGGGGGUAGCGGAAUUCCCAGUGUAGCGGUGAAAUGCGCAGAUAUCAGGAGGAACACCGGUGGCGAAGGCGGGUCUCUGGGCCGAUACUGACGCUGAGGAGCGAAAGCGUGGGGAGCGAACAGG
rnacentral:rRNA from 1 species